UUUCGUCAGGGUAGAGUUGACUCUUUCUCAGGCUUUCGUAUCCUCUUGGCACUGUCACUGGGCUAUCCAUCAGUGAAGUGGUGUGGUAGAGGCAGAGUUGAUCAACAGUGGCCACAAAUUUCUACAAGUUGGCUCAGUCUUGGACACAUUCUGGAAACAAAGGACAAAAAGACUUUGAUUAAGGAAUAGGCAGCUUGUGAUCACCUUUCUUACUUGAUAAAUUUAAGCUUUCUUCUAUAUUGAAAGCCUCUGGAUACAAAUAUAAUCUAAUAUUCCUGGUGUUCUUGAAGUCUUUUGAGAACAGCAGGAACCCAGUGCUUAUCUAUAGGCUCUAUUGAUAUUACCAGCUGGAAUCACAUCUCACAUCUCUUCCAGGUUUUAUCUUACUGGUGGCAAUGGAAGCUUGGACCCAACAACAGGUCAUCGUUCUUCGAGUUCCAUGAAGGCAGCAAACACUUGAAGAGUACAGAUGUUUGACGAAGCACUUGCUUUAUUGCAUCUCGUGGAAUCAGCCAAAGAUAGAUAGAUGUAAGGGAGGCAGCAGAAGCUGGAGAAAGUAGCAAUGGCAGGUGGAUUAAUGCGUGUGCAUUUGGAUGGAGUAAAGAUGAGAACGUGUCGUGAAGCUCCAACAGCCAUGCACAAGUAUUCCAUAAGCAACACACAAAGCUCUCCUCCGCCGUCUAUCCUUCGACCGUGAAA